rnacentral:misc_RNA from 1 species
GAAAUGCGAUAAGUAAUGUGAAUUGCAGAUACCGUGAAUCAUCAAAUCUUUGAACGCACAUUGCACUGCCUGGAACUCCGGGCAGUAUACCUGUUUGAGCAUCAGUAGAACUCUCCAGUUCCGUAUUGAAUGGGUUGGAGGAGCUGAGCGAACAUGCAGAGAUGCGUGUCGCUUUAAAUGCACUAAGCGCAAGUGCGACAGUGUUAAACAAUCUGCGCGCCUUGCGCACACGACAAUCAGAUCUCAAAUCAGGUAUGAGCACCCGCUGAACUUAA